rnacentral:rRNA from 1 species
AGUGAACGCUGGCGGUAGGCCUAACACAUGCAAGUCGAACGGCAGCACAGUAAGAGCUUGCUCUUACGGGUGGCGAGUGGCGGACGGGUGAGGAAUACAUCGGAAUCUACUUUUUCGUGGGGGAUAACGUAGGGAAACUUACGCUAAUACCGCAUACGACCUACGGGUGAAAGCAGGGGAUCUUCGGACCUUGCGCGAUUGAAUGAGCCGAUGUCGGAUUAGCUAGUUGGCGGGGUAAAGGCCCACCAAGGCGACGAUCCGUAGCUGGUCUGAGAGGAUAAUCAGCCACACUGGAACUGAGACAUGGUCCAGACUCCUACGGGAGGCAGCAGUGGGGAAUAUUGGACAAAGGGCGCAAGCCUGAUCCAGCCAUACCGCGUGGGUGAAGAAGGCCUUCGGGUUGUAAAGCCCUUUUGUUGGGAAAGAAAAGCAGCAGGUUAAUACCCCGCUGUUCUGACGGUACCCAAAGAAUAAGCACCGGCUAACUUCGUG